AACGUAGGACGCGAGCGUUAUCCGGAGUUACUGGGCGUAAAGCGCGGGCAGGCGGUCUGACAAGUCUGAUGUGAAAUCUCCGGGCUUAACCGGGAGAGGCCAUUGGAAACUGACAGGCUGGAGGGCAGUAGAGGUAGGCGGAAUUCCGGGUGGAGUGGUGAAAUGCGUAGAGAUGUGGAGGAACACCGAUGGCGAAGGCAGCCCCCUGGGCUAACACUGACGCUCAUGCACGAAAGCGUGGGGAGCAAACAGG
rnacentral:rRNA from 1 species